CCCUUAGAUGUUCUGGGCGGCCCGCGCACUACAAUGGCGUGUGCAGCGAGUGCCGAAGUAGAGUUUUCCGAGGUAUUCUUGCAAUGCUCGUUUUGAUGGGGAUAGACCCUUGCAACUGUUGGUUUUGAACGAGGAAUUCCUUGUAAGCAUGGUUUAUCAUCCGACGCUGAAUGCGUCCCUGCCCUUUGUACACACCGCCCGUCGCUCCUACCGAUUGAAUGUUCCGGUGAGCUCUUCGGACUGCGCGGUCUGCAGUUUCUGCGUUCCGUGCGGAAAGUUGCGCAAACCUUAACAUUUAGAGGAAGGAGAAGUCGUAACA
rnacentral:rRNA from 1 species